GACGAACGCUGGCGGCGUGCCUAAUACAUGCAAGUCGAACGCAGUGGGGACGGGUGAGUAACACGUGGGUAACCUCCCAUCAGAGGGAAUAACACUUGGAAACAGGUGCUAAACCGAUACUGAUGGAUGGACCCGUGGUGCAUUAGCUAGGUGGUGAGGUAACGGCUCACCAAGGCCACGAUGCCUAGCUGGCCUGAGAGGGUGAUCGGCCACACUGGGACUGAGACACGGCCCAGACUCCUACGGGAGGCAGCAGUAGGGAAUAUUCGGCAAUGGACGAAAGUCUGAUGGAGCAAUGCCGCGUGAAUGAAGAAGGUUUUCGGAUCGUAAAACUCUGUUGUUAGAGAAGCGGUAUCUAACCAGAAAGCCACGGCUAACUACGUGCCAGCCGCCGCGGUAAUUC
rnacentral:rRNA from 1 species